UUUAUCUUUGUAUUGUAGCUAACGCGUUAAGCACUCCGCCUGGGGACUACGGUCGCAAGACUAAAACUCAAAGGAAUUGACGGGGACCCGCACAAGCGGUGGAGCAUGUGGUUUAAUUCGAUGCAACGCGAAAAACCUUACCACUUUUUGACAUGAAGGUCGUAUCCCCCCUAACAGGGGGAGUCAGUUCGGCUGGACCUUACACAGGUGCUGCAUGGCUGUCGUCAGCUCGUGUCGUGAGAUGUUGGGUUAAGUCCCGCAACGAGCGCAACCCUCAUCCUUAGUUACCAACAGGUAAUGCUGGGCACUCUAAGGAAACUGCCAGUGAUAAACUGGAGGAAGGUGGGGAUGAUGUCAAGUCAGCACGGCCCUUAUAAGGUGGGCUACACACGUGCUACAAUGGCAACUACAAUAGGUCGCGAGGCCGCAAGGUUUAGCUAAUCCAUAAAAGUUGUCUCAGUUCGGAUUGUUCUCUGCAACUCGAGAGCAUGAAGUCGGAAUCGCUAGUAAUCGUGGAUCAUCAUGCCACGGUGAAUACGUUCUCGGGUCUUGUACACACUGCCCGUCAUGCCCUGGGAAUUGGCUUAACUCGAAGCUGGUGUGCUA
rnacentral:rRNA from 1 species